ACAUGGAAUGGCAUUUUGGGAAUACAAUGACAGAAACCCUGAAUUUAACAAGCUUUUUAAUGAAGCUAUGGCCAGUGAUUCUCGGAUGCUGAACUUGGUCAUUAGAGACUGCAAGCCAAUUUUUGAAGGGGUGAAUUCGCUUGUUGAUGUGGGAGGUGGCAAUGGAUCGCUCGCCAGGAUCAUAUCUGAGGGAUUCCCUCACAUGAAAUGCACUGUACUUGAAAUUCCUCAGGUCGUUGCCAACUUACAAGGCACCAAGAACUUGAAUUAUGUUGGAGGU
rnacentral:misc_RNA from 1 species